rnacentral:tRNA from 1 species
GGGGGGUUAGCUCAGCUGGUAGAGCGUCUGACUCCAGAUCAGACGGUCAUGGGUUCGAGUCCUGUACCCCUCA